UACGGGGGGGGUAAGCGUUGUUCGGAAUUACUGGGCGUAAAGGGCUCGUAGGCGGCCAACUAAGUCAGACGUGAAAUCCCUCAGCUUAACUGGGGAACUGCGUCUGAUACUGGAUGGCUUGGAUUCGGGAGAGGAAUGCGGAAUUCCAGGUGUAGCGGUGAAAUGCGUAGAUAUCUGGAGGAACACCGGUGGCGAAGGCGGCGUCCUGGACCAAUACUGACACUGAAACGCGAAAGCCAGGGAGCAAACGGGAUUAGA
rnacentral:rRNA from 1 species